rnacentral:rRNA from 1 species
GAUGAACGCUGGCGGCGUGCCUAAUACAUGCAAGUCGAGCGAACAGAUGAGGAGCUUGCUCCUCUGACGUUAGCGGCGGACGGGUGAGUAACACGUGGAUAACCUACCUAUAAGACUGGGAUAACUUCGGGAAACCGGAGCUAAUACCGGAUAAUAUAUUGAACCGCAUGGUUCAAUAGUGAAAGACGGUUUUGCUGUCACUUAUAGAUGGAUCCGCGCCGCAUUAGCUAGUUGGUGAGGUAACGGCUUACCAAGGCAACGAUGCGUAGCCGACCUGAGAGGGUGAUCGGCCACACUGGAACUGAGACACGGUCCAGACUCCUACGGGAGGCAGCAGUAGGGAAUCUUCCGCAAUGGGCGAAAGCUUGACGGAGCAACGCCGCGUGAGUGAUGAAGGUCUUCGGAUCGUAAAACUCUGUUAUUAGGGAAGAACAAAUGUGUAAGUAACUAUGCACGUCUUGACGGUACCUAAUCAGAAAGCCACGGCUAACUACGUG